rnacentral:lncRNA from 1 species
AGAACACUGAAGCCAAAGUUUCUUAUUGGAGGAAUUAUAUUAGGGAUAAGCCUGCAUUAGUAUACCUGCUUUCUCAAUGAUUGUUCUAAUAUAGCCUUGGCAAGAAAAUAUCAGUGGGUUCAGAGAGCAGUAGCUGGGACACUUAGUCAUAUAAGCUCCCCUUAGCAAGAGAUCUGAGUGGUAAAUUUUCAUGACUCAGUUCAUCCCUUAUUCUGUACAUCUUCAUUCGAGCCUGGCUGCCAGGAAGAUGAAUAGACACCAGUGUCAACUUGAACCCUAGGCCAAAUAAUCCUAGAAAUGUUUGGAUAUUCUCUUGUGCCAGUGUUUAUUUAGUCACUCUAAUAAUGACCAUGAGUCCAUUUGGGAAAGAACUUGAGGAUUCAUCACUGCACACACACACACACACACACACACACACCACUUGUAACAAGGUCUUUUCCUUUUUCUUCUAGGAACAUAGCACCUCUUCCAUCUGUGUAUUCUUUAUCUGAAAAUUGUGCAAGAAAUCAUGAUAUUUCAUUGGCAUGGUAUCUUCAAACUCUUUUCCAUUUUUACCUUAUUUGGCUAUAGUUAUUUGGUUACAGGUAUUAAGUAACAUCCUUGUUAUUUGCUCGUGUGUUCUGCCUAUAGGCGUGAUAUCUUCAAUUAAUCAUCUCACAAACAUGCUGUGAGUCAAGCCCACUUAACUACCCCUCCAAUUUCACCAGUUGUUAGACUAAUUACGGCCUCUUGGCUUGUGGUAUUAAGUUCCAGUCUUCAGGGCCCUCUAUUACUUCAGGGUCCAUUACCCCUGAAUGAUAUUAACAAGCCCAGCUCUGUGACUGCCUCAUCAUCAGACCUGUCUAAAAAGAAGAGCUAUCCACUUAUCCUAGUGAUACUGGCACCCUCACAUAGGCACAUUGUUGGUGGUCUCAGUUAAUUGUGUGUCUUCUGGGACCUCCCUUGGAACAAAAUCUUGUAGGUUUUCUAGCCUCAUGUUAUCCAUUCCAGGAUGACCAUUUCUCUCAGGCUCUUUAUUCCUUCUCCUGCCCUUUACCAGAUCAGUGUGGGCAUUUCAGUGUUGACCAUCUCUGUUUUUAGGCUUCCAAGACCUGCUGUAGCAUUGGAUUUGCUCUAUCCCCUGGGGUUCUUGCUAGGAACAACAAGUGUCUGAGACUAGGUAAUUGAUAAAGAACAGAAGUUGAUUUCUCCCAAUUCAUGAGGAUAGAUAUCCAAGGUCAAAGAACCAGUGUUCAGAGGGGACAAACAUUGUGUUCUCUCAUAACCGAAGAGUUAGAAGGGCAAAGGGGGCUUUGCCCUUUGAAUGGUCAUGGUCCCAUUCAUGAGGGUUCCAGCCUCAUGGCUUAAUCAACUCCUAAACACACCACUUCUUAAUACUAUUACAUUGACAAUUGGGUUUUGACAGUGAAUUCUGGGGGGGCAUUCAAGUCUACCACAGAUUUGAUAAAUACUGUGCCCUGACAAAGUUCCUGUAAAUAAAUAAAUUCUGGUUUUCUAGCUUAAUGUUCUGGCUCUUUAGGUAAAGGAAUGUUAAAAGUCACUUCUCUACCAACUUCAUGCUGAAUUUAAUUGUAGUCAUCUUCCUAGCACCUAGGAAAGAAGAUAGAAGCAUCUCAGG